AUCAUUAUCUCUGCAGCUUUCCUUUAAACUAGGAAGACUUGUUCCUAUACCCCAGUAACGAUACACUGUACACUAAGCAAAUAGCAGUCAAACCCAAAUGAAAUUUUUACAGAUGUUCUGUGUCAUUUUAUUUUGUUUAUGUUGUCUCCCCCACCCCCACCAGUUCACCUGCCAUUUAUUUCAUAUUCAUUCAACGUCUUUUUGUGUAAAAAGAGACAAAAAACAUUAAACUUUUUUCCUUCGUUAAUUCCUCCCUACCACCCAUUUACAAGUUUAGCCCAUACAUUUUAUUAGAUGUCUUUUAUGUUUUUCUUUUUCUAGAUUUAGUGGCUGUUUUGUGUCCGAAAGGUCCACUUCGUAUGCUGGUUGAAACAGCUCAGGAGAGAAAUGAAACGCUUUUUCCAGCUCUCAUUUACUCCUCAACAAUGGUGUGGUUGGUGAAUAUGGCAGAAGGAGACCCGGAAGCUCAAAGGAGAGUAUCCAAAAAUUCCAAGUAUAAUGCAGAAAGCACAGAAAGGGAGUCACAAGACACUGUUGCAGAGAAUGAUGAUGGCGGGUUCAGUGAGGAAUGGGAAGCCCAGAGGGACAGUCA
rnacentral:lncRNA from 1 species